GUGAGGAAUAUUGGUCAAUGGGCGAGAGCCUGAACCAGCCAAGUAGCGUGCAGGACGACGGCCCUAUGGGUUGUAAACUGCUUUUAUAAGGGAAUAAAGUGGGUCACGUGUGACUUUUUGCAUGUACCUUAUGAAUAAGGACCGGCUAAUUCCGUGCCAGCAGCCGCGGUAAUACGGAAGGUCCGGGCGUUAUCCGGAUUUAUUGGGUUUAAAGGGAGCGUAGGCCGGAGAUUAAGCGUGUUGUGAAAUGUAGUGGCUCAACCUCUGCACUGCAGCGCGAACUGGUCUUCUUGAGUACGCACAACGUGGGCGGAAUUCGUGGUGUAGCGGUGAAAUGCUUAGAUAUCACGAAGAACUCCGAUUGCGAAGGCAGCUCACGGGAGCGCAACUGACGCUGAAGCUCGAAAGUGCGGGUAUCGAACAGGAUUAGAUACCCCAGUAGUCC
rnacentral:rRNA from 1 species